GCCCUUAUAGCUCAGUGGUAGAGCGCAUCACUCGUACAACUGCUUACGUAAGCAAAUACUGCACAUGAUGAGGUCCAUCGUUCAAUCCGGUGUGAGGGCA